UGGCGAACUGGUGAGUAACACGUGGGUGAUCUGCCCUGCACUUCGGGAUAAGCUUGGGAAACUGGGUCUAAUACCGGAUAGGAGCCAUCUUUAGUGUGGUGGUUGGAAAGUUUUUUCGGUGUAGGAUGAGCUCGCGGCCUAUCAGCUUGUUGGUGGGGUAAUGGCCUACCAAGGCGGCGACGGGUAGCCGGCCUGAGAGGGUGUACGGCCACAUUGGGACUGAGAUACGGCCCAG
rnacentral:rRNA from 1 species